rnacentral:rRNA from 1 species
GUGAGGAAUUUUCCGCAAUGGGCGAAAGCCUGACGGAGCAAUGCCGCGUGAAGGAUGAAGGCCUAUGGGUUGUAAACUUCUUUUCUCAGAAAAGAAUUAUGACGGUAUCUGAGGAAUAAGCAUCGGCUAACUCUGUGCCAGCAGCCGCGGUAAGACAGAGGAUGCAAGCGUUAUCCGGAAUGAUUGGGCGUAAAGCGUCUGUAGGUUGUUUAAAAAGUAUUCUGUCAAAGAUUAGGGCUUAACCCGAGAUAGUCAGAAUAAACUUUUAAGCUAGAGUUUGGUAGAGGCAGAGGGAAUUCCCGGUGGAGCGGUGAAAUGCGUAGAUAUCGGGAGGAACACCAAAGGCGAAGGCACUCUGCUGGGCCAAUACUAACACUGAGAGACGAAAGCGAGGGGAGCAAAUGGGAUUAGAAACCCUAGUAGUCC